UUUUUUAACGUGCAAUUUAUUUCUUAUAGAGCAAUGAGAAAUUUAAAUGUAAGAUUGGGAGAUUAUACUCCUUUUUACCCCUAACUCAAGCUUAUUUCACCAGGUGCUGUGGAUUUCCUUUCUCUGAAAACAUUUUUAUUUUCUCCUUGACUAGCAUGUGUUUUUCCCCAUGAUGUCAUUCUUUAGAAUGGAGAAAUUAUGAAGAGAUGGGAAAUGUCAGAUUUCAAUACCUGAAGGUGCCUGUCUCUGAACCUACUGGUUUGAAGUUUCUUCAUAUUUCCAUCUUUAGGAUGAACGGAAAUCUGAGCAGGAGGGGUACACCAAUCCAGUCCUUAUGAAGUCAACGAGAGAGAAAGCGCAUUGGGGAGCAGCAGAUAGAGGGAGACAGAGGAUCCAAAGUGGGCCCUGGCUGACAGUGGAGAGCCCAAUAUGAAGUUUAAACUCACAAACCAUGAAAUCAUGAGCUGAGCCAAAGUUGGACACUUAACUGGCUGAGCUACCCAGGUACCCCCCUUUAUUAUUAUAUAGUCCCUCUUUGUCUCUUUGUCUUCUUUAUUUUUGAGAGAGAGAGAGAGCAUGAGCAGGGGAAGCACAGAGAGAGAGGAGACAGGGAUCCAAAGUAGGUUCUGUGCUGACAGCAGACAGCCAGAUGUGGGGCUCCAGGUUACUAAACCAGCAGAUCAUGACCUG
rnacentral:lncRNA from 1 species